GAGAUUCGGCAGCACAUACACUAAAAUUGGAACGAUACAGAGAAGAUUAGCAUGGCCCUUGCGCAAGGAUGACACGUAAAAGAAACAUUUUAAAAAGACUCCU